UACAGAGGUCUCAAGCGUUGUUCGGAUUCAUUGGGUUUAAAGGGUCCGUAGGCGGUUUUAUAAGUCAGUGGUGAAAUCUGGUCGCUCAACGAUCAAACGGCCAUUGAUACUGUAGAACUUGAAUUACUUGGAAGUAACUAGAAUAUGUAGUGUAGCGGUGAAAUGCUUAGAGAUUACAUGGAAUACCAAUUGCGAAGGCAGGUUACUACAAGUACAUUGACGCUGAUGGACGAAAGCGUGGGGAGCGAACAGG
rnacentral:rRNA from 1 species